UUGUAUAUAUAUUGAGUUUGAAUAUAUAUUCAACAUAUUAUAUAUAUGUUGAACAAAUAAAUCGAUGAAAAAUGUCCCAAGCGAACAGAGUAAUUUUGUUGUAAAAAAGGGCUGCCGUUCGAGCGUCGAUAAAACCAGUGGAAUAUCAGAAAUUAUAACGUGUAAACGAUUAACCAAACUGACGAUAAGCCAGUCGAAUUUUCUAUGGUUUCCAUGCUCCGUAAGGUGGAUGAUUUCGCCAUAAGAUGGCGGCGAGCAAUUGCGCGCGGAACAGUUUCGAAAAGCAGCCGAGCCUUUUUAGAGUGCUGAAAUUGAAGGAACGAGUGGAAUGAUUGAGUAAGACAAGAGUGGAUUACACGGUCGGCUAUUUGACUUCUGAUAGACCGAUUCACGUGAGCAUUAUAAAUCAUAUCGAACCUUGACGUUCUUCGGGACGCACUUCAAUCGAUAGUUUACCCGCAGCCACAAUUAUACAGAGUGAUUCCCGUCGAUGGAAUUUUACCGGGGCAAAAAUAUUUCAGCGGGAAUUUCAGCGGACAGCGGCGAAAGUGGCCGACCACCUUGACCACGGAAUACGUUUUCAGGAACAAGAUAUUUAGCAACAACUAGACCGCGGAUAUCUUUGUGCAAAAUAAAAAUUCUCUAGCUCGGUGGCAGCGUGCAGGAUUUGAAAAAAAAAUCUAUUUUGCGUCUUCUUUUUCUUCAUUCUUAAUAGGAUGAAAACGAUGGAACAGCACUGUUUAAUUUUUGUCUUGCAUUUCGCGUGUUCUAUUCGAUGUUAUUCAUUUUUAAAUGCAUAAAAUUCACGGUCUAGUUGUAGGUAGAUUUAUUAGAAGCAGUCGAAAUCCAAAAUAGAAAGUUAUUCCUUUGUUCGAUCAUUUUAAUCGAACGAAAAUAACGUCUUAGCGUUUAUAACUUCAUUUAAUUUUUCUUUUAAAUUGUAGAGGCCCAUUUUUGCCAUAAGUGCAGUACAGUGGUAAGUCAAAUCCAUCUGGUUACAUCCAUUGCAAGCAGUCUAAACUCGAUAAAAAGUUAUUCCUUCCUUCGAUCAUUUCAAUUAAGCGAAAAUAAUAUCUUAGCGUUUUAAACUUCAUUUAAUUUUUCUUUUAAAUUGCAGAUACCCAUUUUGCCAUAAGCACGGUACAGUUAUAAUUCCGCAUGCUCCGUUUCGAAGCGUACAUUUUUUGAAAAAACGUCUCGCUGAAAGAUAAGAUGAAAAAAAAUCGCGGUCAACGCGAAGAGAGCGAACUGUAAACCAAAAAAAAAGGUGAAAAUGGAACAGCAGGUUCGUCGGCACCAUUAUCCAGGAAUCACCUUGCAACAGCGUGGCAAUGAGUGAUCGAUGCGUUCCUCUCGUAGUUCGAGCGUAGAAAAGUCGCCUGAUUCCCACACUGAUACGCUCGCUGAACUUUACCUCGCGGAAUCCGUCGGCUUUCACCGGUUGCGUCACUUCGCGAUGAUACAAAUACAGCGGCCGCGGCGCGGCGUGCCGCAGCUCGGGAAGCGACGCUAAUGCCAAUAUGAGAGAGGAGUCCUCGCGCGGCAAGAAAACAGCAACGAAUUCAUCGGGUGGACCGUGCACAGCACGCGGUUGCCUUCGAUAAACCCACGCCUCCUCGGGAUGCAAAUCGGUUUCUUCCCCCGCGGACUCGCGCGCCUCAAGGCUCCUCGUUUGUGCAACGGGUGUCCCGUUUUCAUAGACGACUGCUGACCAAUACGAUUGUCGCUGCAACUGCACUGCCCGACGUAGCGAAAUUGUCCUAACGUUCGUGAUCGCUCGACAAACGAAGCUUUCGAUCGGUUAAAUUAUUUCCGAAUGAGCGAAAAUAAAUGAAUGAAAUUUCAUUUGGAA